rnacentral:miRNA from 1 species
CCCACUGCCCCAGGUGCUGCUGG